UACAUUACCAACUGUAAGUCACUCUGGAUAGGAGAGUCUGCUAAAUGACUAAAA
rfam:Salmo salar isolate Sally breed double haploid chromosome ssa06, whole genome shotgun sequence.